rnacentral:rRNA from 1 species
GACGUAGGGCGCGAGCGUUGUCCGGAUUUAUUGGGCGUAAAGAGCUCGUAGGCGGCUUGUCGCGUCGAAUGUGAAAUCUCAGGGCUCAACUCUGACAUUGCAUUCGAUACGGGCAGGCUCGAGUUCGGUAGGGGAGACUGGAAUUCCUGGUGUAGCGGUGAAAUGCGCAGAUAUCAGGAGGAACACCGGUGGCGAAAGCGGCUUCCUGGUCCAGCACCGACGUUCAGGCACGAAAGCGUGGGGAGCAAACAGG